GUGACGAGCAAAAAGAAAAUCUAUUUUUGCACUAAUAAAGUGACAGUACACUACAAUUUAAAUCUGCAAAUAAGGAUACGGCAAUAGUGUAACUAUUUGAACUCUUCAACAACACACAACUAUUGGGUCUCUUCUUAGUUGAACUCUGCUAUCUCAAAUACCCGUGAUGUUUCAUCAAUAGAGACAGAAACAAGGUACUCCCCGUUGGACGAUGCAGCUAGACACUGAAUAGCAUCAGCAUGUCCGCUAAAGGUCCUGACACAUUCUCCAGAACGACUGUCCCAUACCCGCACUUUACCAUCAACACAACCUGUUGCCACAUAUCUAUAUUGCCCCAACCACGAUAAGCAUGUCACGCCAUCCGGAUGUUCACAUGUGGAGCGAGGUAAGGACUGUUGUAAGUCCCAAAUAAUAAGCUUAUUAUCCAUGCCUCCAGUUGCAGCCCAAGGUGCGCUUGCUGAAAAGCUGGCACAUUCUAUCGAAUCUGUAUGAGCACUCAGAGAAGUGACAACCUUUCCAGUAAUUAUAUUCACAAUGUGAGCAGAGCCAUCCUUUGAGCCUGUGAGAGCCAGAGUAGAAUCCGAGCUGAUUGACAAGCAUGUCAGUCCUUCCGUGUGAUACGGAUGACCUCUUACCACAUGUAUACUUUGGGCACUCUUAGGAUCCCAUAUCCUCAGUGUCGCAUCAUCAGACCCAGUACAAAUUAAUUUACCAUCUGGAGUGAAAUCACCACAGGUUACACUACCAGCAUGACCUAAAAACGUGUUCAUGAAAGCACUGGUAUCAGCAUUCCACAUCCAAACAGAAGAAUCCUCUGAACCUGCCAACACCACGUGUCCUCUUGGAUGCCACCUGACCCACUCAAUUCCCUUUUCAGGACCUUCAAGUGUGCCCUUCAGACCACCUGAAGUUAUGUCCCAUACUCUUAUAUUCCCAUCAAGGCUCCCAGAAGCAAGUAACUGACCAUCAGAACUAAAAGCCAAACUUGAUACAGAAUCUGUGUGACCUUGCAACUCAAAAGCAAAAUCACCUUGACCAAUUUUCCACAUAAAUCCUCUAUCAUCUCCACCACCUGUUACCACCAAACUGGCAUCUGUUGGGCUGCAGGUAACAGUGUAUAGU
rnacentral:misc_RNA from 1 species